GCUAGGAUCGACUUAAGUGUGGGGUUGACACUACCUAAAGAAUUUAAACUUUGCUGCUCUCUAUCUUUUUGCUCUGAGACAUCAGUGGAGUCAAUUUUUGGACAUUUAGAGUCGAUUUGCAUUUCGGAUUGACUUAUGAAACUUUUGAAGUCGGGUUGAGAUGUAAUGGGGUCGACUCAAGAUCCUUUUGAGUCAGCCAUUAGCUCCAAUUCUUUUCUUGAAGAUACAUUUGCA
rnacentral:lncRNA from 1 species